rnacentral:rRNA from 1 species
AACGAACGCUGGCGGCAUGCCUAACACAUGCAAGUCGAACGAGACCUUCGGGUCUAGUGUCGCACGGGUUCGUAACGCGUGGGAACCUGCCCUUAUGGUCGGAAUAACUCCCCGAAAGGGGUGCUAAUACCGGAUAAUGUCUUCUGACCAAAGAUUUAUCGCCUUUGGAUGGGCCCGCGUUGGAUUAGCUAGUUGGUAGGGUAAAAGCCUACCAAGGCGACGAUCCAUAGCUGGUCUGAGAGGAUGAUCAGCCACACUGGGACUGAGACGCGGCCCAGAAUCCUACGGGAGGCAGCAGUGGCGAAUAUUGGACAAUGGGCGAAAGCCUGAUCCAGCAAUGACGGGUGAGUGAUGAAGGCAUUAGGGUUGUAAAGCUCUUUUACCCGGGAUGAUAAUGACAGUACCGGGAGAAUAAGCUCCGGCUAACUCCGUG